rnacentral:rRNA from 1 species
CAAUAGCGUAUAUUAAAGUUGUUGCAGUUAAAAAGCUCGUAGUUGGAUUUCGGGGCAGCCUGGCUGGUCCGCCGCAAGGCGAGUACUGGUCAGCCGCCCUUCCUCUCGAAAGCCCCGACUGCUCUUUAUUGCAGUGGUGGGGUAGUUCGGGACGUUUACUUUGAAAAAAUUAGAGUGUUCAAGGCAGGCCUACGCCUGAAUACAUUAGCAUGGAAUAAUGGAAGAGGACCUCGGUCCUAUUUUGUUGGUUUCCAGGACCGAAGUAAUGAUUAAGAGGGACAGUUGGGGGCAUUCGUAUUUAAUUGUCAGAGGUGAAAUUCUCGGAUUUAUGAAAGACGAACAACUGCGAAAGCAUUUGCCAAGGAUGUUUUCAUUAA